GACGAACGCUGGCGGCGUGCUUCAUACAUGCAAGUCGAACGAGGUCCAACUGGUAGCAAUACCGGUGAAGACCUAGUGGCGAACGGGUGAGUAACACGUGAGGAACCUGCCCCGAAGACCGGGAUAACAGUGGGAAACCGCUGCUAAUACCGGAUACCCCCACCGGAUCGCAUGGUCUGGUGAGGAAAUGGAUUCCGCUUCGGGAGGGGCCUCGCGGCCUAUCAGCUUGUUGGUGGGGUGAUGGCCUACCAAGGCGACGACGGGUAGCCGGCCUGAGAGGGCGACCGGCCACACUGGGACUGAGACACGGCCCAGACUCCUACGGGAGGCAGCGAGUGGGGAAUCUUGCGCAAUGGGCGAAAGCCUGACGCAGCGACGCCGCGUGAGGGAUGACGGCCU
rnacentral:rRNA from 1 species